UGGGGAAUUUUGGACAAUGGGCGAAAGCCUGAUCCAGCCAUGCCGCGUGCGGGAAGAAGGCCUUCGGGUUGUAAACCGCUUUAGUCCAGGAAAAAGGGGUGCGGGGUUAAUACCUUCGUGCUUUGAUGGUACUGGAAGAAUAAGCACCGGCUAACUACGUGCCAGCAGCCGCGGUAAUACGUAGGGUGCAAGCGUUAAUCUGAAUUACUGGGCGUAAAGCGUGCGCAGGCGGUUAUGCAAGACAGAUGUGAAAUCCCCGGGCUCAACCUGGGAACUGCAUUUGUGAAUGCAUAGCUGGAGUGCGGCAGAGGGGGAUGGAAUUCCGCGUGUAGCAGUGAAAUGCGUAGAUAUGCGGAGGAACACCGAUGGCGAAGGCAGCCUCCUGGGCCAGUACUGACGCUCAUGCACGAAAGCGUGGGGAGCAAACA
rnacentral:rRNA from 1 species